GAAAGAUUGUAGAACUCCUAGAGA
rnacentral:siRNA from 1 species